rnacentral:rRNA from 1 species
AUUGAACGCUGGCGGCAGGCCUAACACAUGCAAGUCGAACGAGUGGCGGACGGGUGAGUAAUGUCUGGGAAACUGCCUGAUGGAGGGGGAAAACUACUGGAAACGGUAGCUAAUACCGCAUACCAUCAGAUGUGCCCAGAUGGGAUUAGCUAGUAUGUGGGGUAAUGGCUCACCUAUGCGACGUUCCCUAGCUAGUCUGAGACGAUGACCGGCCACACUGGAGCUGAGGCACGGGUCAGAAUUUUACGUGGGGCAGCAGUGGGUAUUACUGCACCUUGGGCGAAAUUCUGGUACAGCCAUGCCGCGUGUAUGAAGGACGCUUUCGGGUUUUAAAGUACUUCCUGCGGAGUGGCGUUACCCGCAGAAGUAGCACCGUCUAACUCCGUGCCAGCCGCCGCGGUAAUUU